AAAAUUAAUUGAGUUACAAAGAAGUUCAUAAAAUGGAACUUGUAUACAUUAUUUUUACAUUAUAAUUAAAGAGAAAUCGGUUUUUCGUUGGAUUUUGUUUCUACAUUAAAACUGGAUUAUGUUAGCGUUUAAGUUUAUAUAAAAGAAGUUUUUAUUUCUUUAAAAAACGAACUAAAUUUUACUAUGCAUAAAGUUAGUUAUUUUAAAGAAUUGAAUUAAAUAUCGUUCACCUUUACAAAAAUUAGUUUCACGAAUAAUUUUCAUGUCACAAUAUUAUAAUGUUGACAUCUUCAUUUUUACAGUUUUACUUCCUUGACAAAGAAGUAAACAAGGAACUUGUGGCAUAAAUUCUUGGCAACAUUACAAAAUUACAACCCGUAUAAAUAUAUUUUUUUUCAAUGCAAAUUAAAAGAUAACUUUUCGCACAGCUACUCGUCAAACAAAUAAAAUGAUGUAUGCAAUUGUUGCCUUUGAUGAGGAAAAUAACACUGACUAUCUACCUCUAAUUUGGCUUGUUAAUGCGAUGAGCGAAAAUGUUCUGUCUAUAAUAUCUUCAAGGAAAUCAACAGAUUUUUAUUGGCCACGCUGGACAAAUAUGAAAAAAAUUGACGCAGCAAAAUCAAUCUGUCAAGAACCAGAAGUUGGUUGGCUGCGAUUUUCUGGAAGAAUUUUGUCCACUGCUGACACAGAAUCUGAAGCAAAAGAAAAAUGUAAAUAUGCGGAAGAUACAUCAAAUGUUGAUGAACUAUAUCUAAAAAAUCGAAAAAGGUCUAUAAAGUUCAACAAUUUCAUUUCGAUAGAUGGAAGAUAUUUACAUUCUUUUGUAACCUUAUAUGAUUAUAAUAAAAUAAUCUUAAUACAAUUAAAAAUAAUAAUGCUUGUAUUCCAUAAUUAGCCAGUCUUGUGAAGAAGAUUCUCAAGUAAAGUUAUUUGAAAAAAGUUAGUAAAAUAUUACUUAAAAUAAAGUUUGUUUAUAUAUAGAUAUACAGGACUUGUUUUAAAUAAAAUAUGUGUAGCAUAAAAGCGUAAGCAUUUUUGCUUUUUAGAAAAGGAAAUUGAAUCUAUUUUUUUUAAAGAAGAACUUAGUAAAUCAAUAAAGAAAAAGAAAACAGAGUCAACAAAAGGAAGUUCAAUAAAAGUUUUGAAGACCUUAAUAAAUCCCCAGAACAAGCUUUUAUCAAGCCAGAUGUUCCUUUAAUUCCUCGAUGUUCUAACACUUCAGAUGAUGUUGAUUUCAAUAAAAAUUCAUCUUUAACAGAUUUUUCAUUCAGUUUGUCUGAAACUUAUCAAAGAAUGCCUAAUUCUUCAACAAUAGUACCUUUUGCUGCAGCAGAAAAUUCAGGAGUAUGCAAAACUAUUUUGAGAGGGUUAGAACAAAUUAAAGAAACACAAAAAUUUCACUCUAAGAUGAUUCAGAAUUUAUUGCAACGGUUUAACAUAGAAAGAGACAUAGCAUCAGUGGAGCUACCAGAAGGUUUAACAUUUCCUGUAACAACAAUGGAAGAACUGGAUAAGGCUCUUGAAAUAUUAGCUAAUGUUACUACUCAAAGGAUUUUGGUUCAUAUUCUUUUUGAAAAUGGUCCAAGAUAUUUCAGAAUUUGUUAAUCAAAAUAUGACUUAUCUUAUUGGAAAUGUAUUGGCCAGACAGCUAAAUUUGACCGGCCAAAAAAAUAAGCGUGGGUUUAUUAAAACCAUUUUGUACAACAUUCUUUAUACUUCCAUAAAAAUGAAUACAUCUACAAAAGAGUGUACAAAAAAACAGCUUGAGGAGGCUCUUUCAAAAUGGUUUGGUAAUGCUCGUGACAGAGGUAUAGGUCGAAGACGGCGCUUAGAUGUCGUUAAUCAUUUGGAAGAAAGUUUUUAAAUAAUUCUUAAUCCUAUCUUAAACGAAUAUGUUAUAUUUUA